rnacentral:rRNA from 1 species
AGUGAACGCUGGCGGUAGGCCUAACACAUGCAAGUCGAACGGCAGCACAGUAAGAGCUUGCUCUUACGGGUGGCGAGUGGCGGACGGGUGAGGAAUACAUCGGAAUCUACUUUUUCGUGGGGGAUAACGUAGGGAAACUUACGCUAAUACCGCAUACGACCUACGGGUGAAAGCAGGGGAUCUUCGUACCUUGCGCGAUUGAAUGAGCCGAUGUCGGAUUAGCUAGUUGGCGGGGUAAAGGCCCACCAAGGCGACGAUCCGUAGCUGGUCUGAGAGGGUGAUCAGCCACACUGGAACUGAGACACGGUCCAGACUCCUACGGGAGGCAGCAGUGGGGAAUAUUGGACAAAGGGGGCAAGCCUGAUCCAGCCAUACCGCGUGGGUGAAGAAGGCCUUCGGGUUGUAAAGCCCUUUUGUUGGGAAAGAAAAGCAGCAGGUUAAUACCACGCUGUUCUGACGGUACCCAAAGAAUAAGCACCGGCUAACUUCGUG